GGGCUCCAGGUAGCGCUUACCUCGGGAGGGCUCCCCAGAAGCAGCGACAUGUCCCUUGGCUCCUAGGUGUAGGGGCAGCCCCAUGUGGUGCGCGCCGCCUCUGCCCGCAGGCACCACCCCCACAACUCCCAUUGGCUGCGGUUCCUGGCCAAUGGGAGCUGCAAAGCCAGCGCUCAGUGCAUGGACAGUGCGCAGAGGCCCCCUGGCUGUCCCUCUGCCUAGAAACGGAGUGACAUGUUGCUGCUUCUGGGGAGUCGUGCGGGGUCAGGCUUUAUGUGGCUAGGAGCCCUGAAUGAACUAAAGCCCCAGCUUCCUCAGAAGCAAUGUACAGCUGUGUUAUUCUAGAAGAGCUAAUACCAGCACAACCCACAGCAUCAUCCUUGAUUCAAAAAGCUAUUUCCCUGUCAACCACAAAGGAAUAACAAACCAACAAUACUAUACUAAAGGUUAUAUUUUAAAAGAAAACUGGGCUAGAAGUUAUAACCAGUAUGCAAGGUGGCUGAGUUAAUCUUGGAGGACCAAUUUCAACUACUGCAACUUCCUGACUUAGAAGUUUUUGAUAAUUCAAGAUUAAUGCUGAGAUGCCACUAGUUUUUUUAUAUGUAUUUUUCCAGACUUUUAAAGACAUACUAUUGAUGUAAAUAAAAGAAAAAAUGAAACCUGAGGAUGUCUGUCUUGUUGAUGUCACCAAAGCUAACAACUUCCUUGAUCAGAAACCUAUGCCAAAGAUUUCCUGGACUUGUGGCGCUUUUCUCUGCAGAACUUCCAGGCUUUACUAGAUGGCAUCCAGGAUCCUUGUAUCUGGAUUUACUAUGAUAAAAGUCACCCUACAUGGGGAGCUCCUGUCAUACCCCAAUGGCCCCAUCCCUCAGGGGGUCCCCUGGGAGAGGCAGAUCAGCAUUGUAUAUUGCUAAUGAUAUUGCAAGCUUCACAAGCCAUUUUGGGAAGAGACAAAGGUGUGAGUGUGGAGUGGAAGAUUCCUUUUCAGGCUGCGAGAGGCCAAAUGGGGAGGGAGGAAGAGAGCAGAGAACGGGUUAACUCAAUACUUCAGCUAGCUCAGUCCGAAGAUAAGACGAUGGCCCCAGUCCAAGGUCACGGAGCCCGACGAGAAGUCUGCAGCUCUAUUCAUAUCUUAGCCAACCCCAGCCAGCCAUAAGAAAAGGAGAACUAAGCUGAGCAGGACUG